ACUGGGAUAGCUCAGUCAGUAGAGCAUGAGAUUCUUAAUCUCAGGGUUGCGAGUUCGAGAUUCCUGCAUUGCAGGG